GUCCACCCUUUGGACCUGCAGUGUCCGGAGUAAGGUGAUGAGGUGCCACGCCACUGUUUCUCAGGUCGGUGAAACCUUCACAGAGGGGUGCCAGCGUCACUUGCACACAGCCGAUCCCAGUGCGUUGUCGAAAACUCAAGUAAAAACCAAGGCACAGAUUGGGUCUCUGUCUCAACUUUUUAAAUCGGCUAGAGAGUUGGUGGACGAUGCAAUGGAUUCCGUGCCAACGGCACAGCCGAAUCUUUUCAAACCGGAAAAUGUGGCACGUGCUGUCAACCGCCACCGGUACAAGGAAAGACUGGCAAAUCCCACUGACCUAUCAUUUGAGAUCAACUAUGACUAUCUACAAUGCAGAGAAUUCAUCAUUGGGGACAUACAGGUACAAGAGGCCAGACACAUCCUGUUCGCCACCCAGGAUCAACUCCGUUUGUUGCGAAACACUAAAUUUCACCAAUAAGAAAGAUUGUUGACGCACCUUUCAACGGCGGACAACUGAUGUCCAUUCACUCUUUCAUGGAAAAAGAUGGUAAUUGCAAACAAGUGCCCCUCAUGUUUGCCCUCAUGUCAAGACGACGUCGGGACGACUACGUAGCUGUGUUCCGGAAGUUGCUUGACGUAUUAGACACUGUCCAAGUUGAGGAGUUCAUGCUUGAUUUUGAGCAAGCUGCUUGGUUGGCUGUACGUGAGUGCUUCCCCGGUG